rnacentral:tRNA from 1 species
ACUGCCGUGGCCUAAUGGUUAUCGCUUUUGCCUCCCACGCGAAGGGCCAGGGUUCAAUUCCUGGCGGCGGCU